GGUGACAACUGUUGAACCAUGGCAUUCCCCAAGAUCUGGUAUAUUGCAGCCCUUGGAUUUCUGCUGCCUUUUUCUUAUGCCCAUACGGACUUCUUCACUUCCAUUGGUCAUAUGACAGACUUAAUUAAUACAGAAAAAGAUCUGGUAAUAUCACUGAAAGAUUAUAUCAAGGCAGAGGAGAGCAAGCUGGAGCAGAUCAAAAAAUGGGCAGAAAAAUUAGAUAAGCUGACAGAUACGGCUACAAAAGACCCCGAAGGAUUUUUGGGCCAUCCUGUAAAUGCAUUCAAGUUGAUGAAACGGCUUAACACGGAGUGGAGUGAGCUGGAGAACCUGGUUCUGAAGGACAUGUCGGAUGGCUUUAUCUCCAACAUGACUAUCCAGCGGCAGUUUUUCCCAAAUGAUGAGGAUCAGACUGGUGCUGCGAAAGCUCUCCUGCGGCUCCAGGACACAUACAAUUUGGAUACAGACACCCUCUCCAGAGGCAAUCUUCCAGGUGUAAAGCACAAGUCGUUCCUAACGGCUGAAGACUGCUUUGAGCUGGGCAAGAUUGCCUAUACUGAGGCCGACUACUACCACACGGAGCUGUGGAUGGAGCAAGCUCUGAAGCAGCUGGAUGAGGGCGAGGUCUCUUCCGCAGACAAAGUCUACGUUUUAGACUACCUGAGCUACGCCGUGUACCAGCAAGGGGAUCUGAGCAAAGCGGUGACGCUCACCAAGCGCCUCCUGGAACUGGAUCCUGAACAUCAAAGAGCAAAUGGGAACAUGAAAUAUUUUGAAUAUAUCAUGGCUAAAGAAAAAGAAGCAAAUAAAUCUACUACGGAAUCGGAAGACCGGGCGGAGAAGGAAACUGAGGUUAAGAAAAAGGACUACCUGCCUGAGAGAAGGAAGUACGAAAUGCUGUGCCGUGGGGAGGGGCUCAAAAUGACCCCACGGAGGCAAAAAAGACUCUUCUGCCGCUACUACGAUGGAAACAGGAACCCUCGGUACAUCCUGGGUCCUGUCAAACAGGAAGAUGAGUGGGACAAGCCCCGAAUCGUUCGGUUCCUUGAUAUCAUCUCCGACGAAGAGAUCGAAACUGUGAAAGAGCUCGCGAAGCCCAGGCUGAGCCGAGCUACUGUGCAUGACCCUGAGACUGGGAAACUGACCACAGCCCAUUACAGAGUCUCUAAGAGUGCUUGGUUGUCUGGCUAUGAAAGCCCCGUGGUCUCUCGCAUUAACACAAGGAUACAGGACCUAACAGGCCUUGAUGUCUCCACGGCUGAGGAGCUGCAGGUAGCCAACUACGGCGUAGGAGGCCAGUAUGAGCCUCAUUUUGACUUUGGAAGGGUAAGUCCUAUUUUCUGUCUCGUCCCUUUCUUCUUCACACGCGCUGUGUUUCUCUUUUUCAGGUGGCAAAUUAUGGAGUGGGAGGACAGUAUGAGCCCCACUUUGACUUUGCACGGAAAGACGAGCCAGAUGCUUUUAAGGAAUUGGGAACAGGCAACCGAAUUGCUACUUGGUUGUUUUAUAUGAGCGAUGUGUCAGCAGGGGGAGCUACCGUCUUCCCUGAAGUAGGAGCCAGUGUGUGGCCUAGAAAGGGCACAGCUGUAUUCUGGUACAACCUCUUCCCCAGCGGAGAAGGCGACUACAGCACACGGCAUGCAGCCUGCCCAGUACUAGUCGGAAACAAAUGGGUAUCCAAUAAAUGGCUCCACGAACGGGGACAGGAAUUCCGAAGACCGUGCACGUUAUCAGAGCUGGAAUGAUGCAGACUCCUCCUCCUUCUCUUCUGUUUUCCAUUUGUGUAAAAUGCACAGAUCUCCUACAGUUUACAAUUGACUAACACUCCACUACAGGUUCAGUCUUCAACUACACCAGUGUUUCAUCUGUGGACAAAACAAACAUGCUUUAGUUCCCUCUAAAAUACCCCUUCAUGGUUUUAUACACAGAAUAUAUUGAUUUUGAAGGUCUAAGAGUGUUGCAGAAAAAAAAAAAGGGA